rnacentral:rRNA from 1 species
UACGUAGGGCGCAAGCGUUGUCCGGAAUUAUUGGGCGUAAAGAGCUCGUAGGCGGCUUGUCGCGUCGGAUGUGAAAGCCCGGGGCUUAACUCCGGGUCUGCAUUCGAUACGGGCAGGCUAGAGUUCGGUAGGGGAGAUCGGAAUUCCUGGUGUAGCGGUGAAAUGCGCAGAUAUCAGGAGGAACACCGGUGGCGAAGGCGGAUCUCUGGGCCGAUACUGACGCUGAGGAGCGAAAGCGUGGGGAGCGAACAGG